CUCACUGCGUCAUCACGCCGGCCGACGCUCGCCCCCGCCCCGGGCCUGAGGAUCUCAGUUUAUGGGGCAUGGAUCAUCUGAAAUCAUGGUGGAAAAAUUCCAUCUGGGUCUUGGUGAUUUGCCAUUGAGGAAUCUAGUGCAAAUCUCUAUGGAUGGACCAAAUGGCAACAGGAAGUCUCACCGCCUGUUACAAGCAGAGCAUCUAAACUUCUAUGUAUAAAUAAUAAAAUUCGACAAUGAGUCCACUUAUUGGGAAGCAGGUGGAUUUGGGGUUCUUUACCGAGGAGAAACUGAAAGGGGGCAACAACAUCAAUGUCAGAAGAGCCUUGGAGUUCCGUAUUGCAUGUAGAGACUUUCUAAAACAACAGUUGGAGAGGUGCUUGAGAAAUCGCCCAUCCAGUACUCCUUAGCUCGGACAAUGGUUUGCCUUGACCCCGAGAAGAUGGCAUCAGAAAAUACAGAACAAUUAAGAUGAAAUUCCUCCUGAAGAUCCUGCUGGAAUCAAAGCUAGUGAAUGAGAGUAAUAGCGAGGAUAUCAUUGGGCAGUAUAAGCUAUUCCUUGAACACGAGGCAAAGAGCUCCUCCUUCAAGAACUUUAAUUAUUCCUCACACAGAGUUGACACAUUGCCUCAAGAGACUAUGGGUAAGUCCAGCAUACAGAAAGAUCUGGAAGACAGUUGAGAUGUUACUCCUACUUUCUCAUGGCCAAGCCACUAUCAUCAAGUGGAAACUGACAACCUCUGUGUGGACUCACAUGUUGUACAGCGUAUUAUCCAAAGAUUAUAGAGCAGAGCAAGGUGCGCCACUCUGCGAAAAGAGCAUAGUAUGACAUGGGUAUGACAUGACGCCAUUUUAUUGAGCUGUAAUUUACAAUAUUAAUAAAAUUUACAAUAAUAUUAACUAAAUAUGUGAAGUGAUCGAUGCUCCAUAAAACACUGUUCCCGCUCAGUCCUACCUGAACUCCCGGUGGCUCAGCACUUCAACUCCCCCUCCCAUUCCCAAUCCGACCUCUCUGUCCUGGGUCUCCUCCAUUGCCAGAGUGAGCAACACCGGAAAUUGGAGGAACGGCACCUCAUAUUCCGCCUGGGUUGCUUGCGUUCGGUUGGCAUGAACAUUGAAUUCUCCCAAUUUUGCUAGCACUUGCUGUCCCCUCCCCUUCCUUAACCCUCGAGCUAUCUCCUCCCUUCCCCCCACCCUCGGGCUCCUCCUCCUCCCUUUUUCCUUCCUUCUUCCCCCCCACCCCCCAUCAGUCUGAAGAAGGGUUUCGGCCCGAAACGUCGCCCAUUUCCUUCGCUCGAUAGAUGCUGCUGCACCCGCUGAGUUUCUCCAGCAUUUCUGUGUACCUUCUGUUCCCUAUAACACUGAUUACACCAAAGAUGAUUGAGCGGAUCAAUCUUUGGAAUGGAUUACACCAAAGAUACUAGAGGAGCAUUGCCCGCUGCCUCCCUCGGGAGUGCCGACCGUGGGCAGACGCUUGAGGCUAUCCCGCCAGCCGCCUUCAUCUGGUAUCGGGGAGACCGAGAAUCAGUCCUGGGUCAACUCAGGAGUGGAGGAAACGUCCUCUUCCCCCAAAGAUACUAGAGAAGCCUCUAGUGUCUUUGCUUUUCCCUGCGACCUGAUG